GACGAACGCUGGCGGCGUGCUUAACACAUGCAAGUCGAACGGAAAGGCCCUGCUUGUGUGGGGUGCUCGAGUGGCGAACGGGUGAGUAACACGUGAGUAACCUGCCCUUGACUUUGGGAUAACUUCAGGAAACUGGGGCUAAUACCGGAUAGGAUCUCCUGCUGCAGGGUGGGGGUUGGAAAGUUUCGGCGGUUGGGGCUGGAUUCGCGGCUUAUCAGCUUGUUGGUGGGGUAGUGGCUUACCAAGGCUUUGACGGGUAGCCGGCAUGAGAGGGGGACCGGCCACAAUGGGACUGAGAUACGGCCCAGAGGCCUACGGGAGGCAGCAGGGGGGAAUAUUGCACAAUGGGAGGAAGCCUGAUGCAGCAACGCCGCGUGCGGGAUGACGGCCUUCUGGGUGUAAACCGCUUUCGCCUGUGACGAAGCGUGAGUGACGGUAAUGGGUAAAGAAGCACCGGCUAACUACGUG
rnacentral:rRNA from 1 species